GAUGAACGCUGGCGGCGUGCCUAAUACAUGCAAGUCGAGCGAACAGACGAGGAGCUUGCUCCUCUGACGUUAGCGGCGGACGGGUGAGUAACACGUGGAUAACCUACCUAUAAGACUGGGAUAACUUCGGGAAACCGGAGCUAAUACCGGAUAAUAUAUUGAACCGCAUGGUUCAAUAGUGAAAGACGGUUUUGCUGUCACUUAUAGAUGGAUCCGCGCCGCAUUAGCUAGUUGGUAAGGUAACGGCUUACCAAGGCAACGAUGCGUAGCCGACCUGAGAGGGUGAUCGGCCACACUGGAACUGAGACACGGUCCAGACUCCUACGGGAGGCAGCAGUAGGGAAUCUUCCACAAUGGGCGAAAGCCUGACGGAGCAACGCCGCGUGAGUGAUGAAGGUCUUCGGAUCGUAAAACUCUGUUAUUAGGGAAGAACAAAUGUGUAGGUAACUAUGCACGUCUUGACGGUACCUAAUCAGAAAGCCACGGCUAACUACGUG
rnacentral:rRNA from 1 species